rnacentral:rRNA from 1 species
GUAUACAUAGCUUGCUAUGUAGAGAGUGGCGAACGGGUGAGUAACACGUAGGUAAUCUGCCUCCGGAUGGGGGAUAGACCACGGAAACGUGGCGUAAUACCGCAUGAGUUCUAUACUUAUAACGAGUGUAGAAGAAAGAUGCAAUUGUAUCGUCUGGAGAUGAGCCUGCGGUCCAUUAGCUUGUUGGCAGGGUAAUGGCCUACCAAGGCGACGAUGGAUAGCCGGCCUGAGAGGUGAACGGCCACACUGGGACUGAGACACGGCCCAGACUCCUACGGGAGGCAGCAGCUAAGAAUCUUCCGCAAUGGGCGAAAGCCUGACGGAGCGACGCCGCGUGGACGAUGAAGGCCGAAAGGUUGUAAAGUCCUUUUCUUAGGGAAGAAUAAGGCGGAGAGUGGAAUGCUUCGCUGAUGACAUUAACUGAGGAAUAAGCCCCGGCCAAUUACGUGCCAGCAGCCGCGGUAAUACGUAUGGGGCGAGCGUUGUUCGGAAUUAUUGGGCGUAAAGGGCGUGUAGGCGGUUUUAUAAGCCUGGUGUGAAAUCCCACAGCUCAACUGUGGAUCCGCGCUGGGAACUGUAAGACUAGAGUUUAGGAGGGGAAGCUGGAAUUCCUGGUGUAGGGGUGAAAUCUUUAGAUAUCAGGAAGAACACCGAUGGCGAAGGCAAGCUUCUAGCCAUAGACUGACGCUGAGGCGCGAAAGCGUGGGGAGCGAACAGGAUUAGAUACCCUGGUAGUCCACGCUGUAAACGAUGUGCACUGGGUGUAGGAGACGUUGAGUUUUCUGUGCCGUAGCUAACGCGAUAAGUGCACCGCCUGGGGAGUAUGCUCGCAAGGGUGAAACUCAAAGGAAUUGACGGGGGCCCGCACAAGCGGUGGAGCAUGUGGUUUAAUUCGACGAUACGCGAGGAACCUUACCAGGGCUUGACAUGUACUUGAAGUCUUAAGAGAUUAAGUCGACCUUUAGGGGACAGGUACACAGGUGCUGCAUGGCUGUCGUCAGCUCGUGUCGUGAGAUGUUGGGUUAAGUCCCGCAACGAGCGCAACCCUUACUGUCCGUUACCAGCAGGCCUUCGGGCGCUGGGGACUCAGGCAGAACUGCCGGUGACAAACCGGAGGAAGGUGGGGAUGACGUCAAGUCAUCAUGGCCCUUAUGUCCUGGGCUACACACGUGCUACAAUGGUCGGUACAAAGCGUUGCGAGACGGUGACGUCCUUAGCAAAUCGCAAAAAGCCGAUCUCAGUUCGGAUUGGAGUCUGAAACCCGACUCCAUGAAGUUGGAAUCGCUAGUAAUCGCGCAUCAGAAUGGCGCGGUGAAUAUGUUCCCGGGCCUUGUACACACCGCCCGUCACACCACCCGAGUUGGGGGUACCCGAAGUCGCUAGUCUAACUCUUCGGAGAGGACGGCGCCGAAGGUAUGUCCGGUAAGGGGGGUGAAGUCGUAACAAGGUA